rnacentral:tRNA from 1 species
GGGUUGGAGGUGCAUAUCUGGUUCGGCACUCCCGGCUGUAAACCGGUGACCUUCGGGAUUGCAGGUUCAAAUCCUGCCCAACCCACUA